GGCCGCAGAGUUUGAUCAUGGCUCAGAUUGAACGCCGGCGGCAGGCCUAACACAUGCAGGUCGAGCGGUAGCACAGAGAGCUUGCUCUCGGGUGACGAGCGGCGGACGGGUGAGUAAUGUCUGGGAAACUGCCUGAUGGAGGGGGAUAACUACUGGAAACGGUAGCUAAUACCGCAUAACGUCGCAAGACCAAAGUGGGGGACCUUCGGGCCUCAUGCCAUCAGAUGUGCCCAGAUGGGAUUAGCUAGUAGGUGGGGUAACGGCUCACCUAGGCGACGAUCCCUAGCUGGUCUGAGAGGAUGACCAGCCACACUGGAACUGAGACACGGUCCAGACUCCUACGGGAGGCAGCAGUGGGGAAUAUUGCACAAUGGGCGCAAGCCUGAUGCAGCCAUGCCGCGUGUGUGAAGAAGGCCUUCGGGUUGUAAAGCACUUUCAGCGGGGAGGAAGGCGUCAAGGUUAAUAACCUUGGCGAUUGACGUUACCCGCAGAAGAAGCACCGGCUAACUCCGUGCCAGCAGCCGCGGUAAUACGGAGGGUGCAAGCGUUAA
rnacentral:rRNA from 1 species